rnacentral:tRNA from 1 species
UUAGCGCGCGGCGCGGUGGCAACGAGAGCCCCGCGGAACCCCGCAGGCUCUCUAGCAAGCCC